UUUGCUUCCUGGGACAUGAAUUAUGCUUUGCUCUUCAUUAAACACAGAGCUCUAUGCUAAAGCUCCAUAUAGAAAUUAUAUUUCAAUGUGUGUGUGUGUGUGUGUAAUCAGGGACAACCAUCCGAAAGUUUUAGGAAAUAAUUAAACUUGCAUUGUCAGGAUUUGACAGCAAUACGGCUUCAGAUAUUGUCUCAUCUAGAUUAUGUUUUUCAUUAAUGUAAGAGUAAUUUUGCCUGACUGAUAGCAAAAGCAUAUGUCCCUUUUCAGCAUUCAUGUGAUGCUAAUUUCUCUGUCUCUCCUUCUGUAGUUGUUUUUCAAGUUUUUACUACUUACCUUUCCUUGCGUGUUAAUUCCUUUUAUUCGUUAUAUGAGUAGUGUGUAGCGUCUAUUUGCACUGUGAAGUCGAGGAAGCAUCUUUGCUCGAGAUGAAAUUUAAGUGAGUUGAGCAAGGAGGAUAUGGUUUAGAGUAAUGCAUCUUCAUAUCAGGAUGAAAGAUGACAAAAAAAGCUCGUAGCUCAGUUGGUGAAAGGGGUGUCGUGCUGGCAUUCUCAGGAGAUAUUGUGCAAGAUUUUCAGUAGGUAUAUUUUUGGCUUAUCCCUGUAGAAAAACUGCUUGAAGAGAUUUUGCAAAUAAUCUUGUUCUUUUAAGUAGUAAUAGAUCUAUUGAUUUUCACUGAUCCAAAAGAAAAGUAAAAAUAUAUCAUGAUUUUCAAAUUGCUUGUUAACUCUGCUUUUUGAUAGUUAACACUAAUGCAAUUUAUCAGCCAUUGGCAAUGUAGUUGAAAGGAUGAUCAGGGAAGUCAGAUUGUCUAAAAUAAUAUCCCCAGCAUUUAAAUUGAUUGACGGUCACCUCAUCAGGUAUAUGCUGACUGAAGUUCUGUCCUCUUAUUAACAUAAUCUAUUUUUUCAGUUAACUUGCCUGCGAUAUCCUUUCCCUGGAUGUACUGCAAAGAAGCAGAAGAUAAAAGGUCCAGAUAAAGGCAACCUCACUUUCUCAGUAAGUGAGUUGAGGAAGGAUGUGGUGGUUAUGGAGAAAUGCAAAUGUUAUCUCUUGACCUUUGAUAUUUCUACUGGCAGUUCAAAGGCAUACAAGACAGAAAGUUUGUAUUCCAUAAUUUAACAUUUAAAAGCAUCGGCAUAAUGUAAGUGCUAUUUUGUAUGAUUAUCUGAUCUCAACUUAACGAUCGUUUUUCUUUCUUUGUCAGGAUUUUGGUGACAAUUAACUCAGUCAAGUAGCUAAUUUCUAGGUCCCCGGCAGCGGCGCCAAAAACCUGUUGGGACCAAACACACUCACGCAAGUAUACGUGGUCGUCAAGUAAUAGAGUGGUGAAUAGAUUAUCAUUCCCACGAGGACUUAUGAUUAACUUUUGACUAAUUCAAACUCAACUAGCUUAUCGAUUCAAGCGAUUUCUUAUAAAAUAGAUAAUUGUCUAAUUUACUACCUAAAGACUAUCAAGUAAUGGAAUACCAGAAAUCAACACAACACUUAAAUAGUUUUAAAUAACAAUCAAUGGGAGAUAAUAUUCCA